rnacentral:rRNA from 1 species
CCGGCGACCGGCGCACGGGUGAGUAACGCGUAUGCAACCUGCCCGUUUCAGCGGGAUAACCCGGAGAAAUCCGGCCUAAUACCGCAUGUGGCCGAGGGGAGGCAUCUUCUUUCGGCCAAAGGAGGCGACUCCGGAGACGGAUGGGCAUGCGUGACAUUAGCUAGUUGGCGGGGUAACGGCCCACCAAGGCGACGAUGUCUAGGGGUUCUGAGAGGAGGGUCCCCCACACUGGUACUGAGACACGGACCAGACUCCUACGGAAGGCAGCAG